rnacentral:lncRNA from 1 species
GGUGGUGGUGGAUAACUAGUAUGCUUAUCCAUACACUCGCACUGGCUAAUACCUUAUAGAAAUGCCAGGUGAGACAUGACCUGCCGGACUCGUACUGCAUGGCCCAUCUUUCGUCUUCUUUGAGGGGUGGACACCGGCCCCAGGAACACAUCAUAAAUUCGGCAUCAUAAAUUAGGACUCAGUUCAAAAUGUGCAUUGGCCCACUGGUAAAGUGUGUCAGCAAUGCCACUAUGGUGGCGUCAUCAUGCCUGUACGAAAUGUGACCAGGAACAUGUUAUGUGCCGUUGCUCGUCCAAAGUACAGCACAUUGUACGGCAUACCCUGUAAAGAUACGUAAUUCCUCACUUAACUGAGCACACCGAAUGCGUAAACAUCGGUCGCUAGGUGCAUCUGUCCGCCCAUUAAGCUCUCCGGGGGCAUGUGAGUGAUGGUUCCCACGUUCUGUGAGGGAGUAAAUCGGACAGGUGGUGGUUAGGUGACCGUUAAAUUCGUUAGGGUUCGUCAAAGUUCGUUGCCUGGGAUUUCCUUGAGGAGAGGCGCGGGGGUUUAGGGGGGUUCAAACGAGGCGACACGGGGGAAACGAAUUCACCUUGACCUUUCGCUGGAGCGCUUCUCCUGCACAUGGCCUUACGAGUGUGCGGGUAUGUGGACGGGCGCUACUGACUUCUACUGCUCACGUGUGUCCCUAACUGCCCAACUGCCUGUAACUGUCCCAUAACCGCCCAACCGCCGGUUACGUUGUGUCCGUAGCCAGGAGGGUAAUGGGCGGGUGUGGUAUCUGGUAUGGAUGGCAAUGGUACGGAUAGCUAUUGAUAGUUUUUGAUACGUGGGUAGUUGCGGGUGCAGACACGCGAACGAGCAGCAGUUAAGGAGGGUGACGGAAAAACAAGGGCAAAAACAAAGGUAAAGGUGGGAGCGAGGCGCCCACCAAGAUUGGAUCGCCAUGGCACUGAGGAGAAGAGGAAAACAGGGGCUAGAAGGGGCCCUCCAUCGCAUGUUGUGCAAAAGGCUUUUAGCCCUAUUUUUACAUACGGCACCAUCGCAGCCAAAACGUGUGAUGCCAACCCCUGCCGUACUGCCGUGCGAACGUACGACAGCACGUUCAAUCUCACUCGUGUUGUUUGGUGCGUCCGUCCUGGAUCCAACGCCCGGCUCAGGCCGAAGUCGGCGACCUUGGCCACGUAACGGCAGGAACUGUACGAUGCCGGCGGUUUAGACGCUGUCGGUCCAAAGGCGACGGCAGCGCCGCGACCGCCGUCAUCAUCGUCCUCGUCGCCCCAGCUGCGAACCGCGUUAUCCCUCGGCGUCCCCGCCACGUCAGCAGCUGCCGGCGGCUGCAGUGGCAACGUAGCACCUGAUUUGAAGGUUCCCUCCGGCCUGAGUGUCCCCUCCCCGGUCACCGUCGCUUCCGUCGCUGCAUCCUUCCCUUUUCCCCUGCUGCUACUGCCGCUGCUGCUACUGCCGCUGCUGCUACUAUCGCUGCUGUUACUGCUGCUGCUAUUUGCGGGCUGCAAUUGUGGCUUUGAUGGCGAGUCGGAGGCGGCGCUGCGGGCUCGAAGCAGCUGAAUGGCACGGGAGGAAAAAGGCGGGAAACAAAAUCCUGUGCGGUAAACGCCACAAGAGACGUUCCUUGUGCUAACCAUUUUAUGAACCCUGAUCUGAACUAAACAAAGAAGACAACAAUAAAAGUUUUUAAAAAUUUCGCACGCACAGAGCACGAACAGGGCUCAGCUCACAAAUCAAAACUGCCGCCCAGUACGAACUAACUUCUCCUCAUCCCAGAUACUCACCACAUUCUCCGCCUUAAGGUCCCCAUGCACGAUGCCCCCUUUAUGAAGGUAGGCCAUACCGCGACUGAUAUCCAACGCCAGAGACAAAAUGGCGGGCUGAGGAGGAGGCGGACGAGAACGGAGGCGGCGGAGGAGGAGAGUGCGAGCCAGAGACAUGUGUGUGAAAAGGCAGUUCUUCGGAAGUGUGUGAUAGUUUUUCGAGUGUAUUUUUCAGGUGUACGGCACCAGGAGGAUGUGCAUGUGAGGAUGCAUAUGUACCG